rnacentral:rRNA from 1 species
UACGUAGGGGGCAAGCGUUGUCCGGAAUCAUUGGGCGUAAAGAGCGUGUAGGCGGUCCGGUAAGUCCGCUGUGAAAGUCGGGGGCUCAACCCUCGAAUGCCGGUGGAUACUGUCGGGCUAGAGUGCGGAAGAGGCGAGUGGAAUUCCUGGUGUAGCGGUGAAAUGCGCAGAUAUCAGGAAGAACACCCGUGGCGAAGGCGGCUCUCUAGUACGUGACUGACGCUGAGACGCGAAAGCGUGGGGAGCGAACAGG